CGGCCUUGAGUCUCUCGCGCCUA
rnacentral:siRNA from 1 species